rnacentral:rRNA from 1 species
AGUGAACGCUGGCGGUAGGCCUAACACAUGCAAGUCGAACGGCAGCACAGUAAGAGCUUGCUCUUACGGGUGGCGAGUGGCGGACGGGUGAGGAGUACAUCGGAAUCUACUUUUUCGUGGGGGAUAACGUAGGGAAACUUACGCUAAUACCGCAUACGACCUACGGGUGAAAGCAGGGGAUCUUCGGACCUUGCGCGAUUGAAUGAGCCGAUGUCGGAUUAGCUAGUUGGCGGGGUAAAGGCCCACCAAGGCGACGAUCCGUAGCUGGUCUGAGAGGAUGAUCAGCCACACUGGAACUGAGGCACGGUCCAGACUCCUACGGGAGGCAGCAGUGGGGAAUAUUGGACAAUGGGCGCAAGCCUGAUCCAGCCAUACCGCGUGGGUGAAGAAGGCCUUCGGGUUGUAAAGCCCUUUUGUUGGGAAAGAAAAGCAGCAGGUUAAUACCCCGCUGUUCUGACGGUACCCAAAGAAUAAGCACCGGCUAACUUCGUG